AUUGAACGCUGGCGGCAGGCCUAACACAUGCAAGUCGAACGGUAGCACAGAGAGCUUGCUCUCGGGUGACGAGUGGCGGACGGGUGAGUAAUGUCUGGGAAACUGCCUGAUGGAGGGGGAUAACUACUGGAAACGGUAGCUAAUACCGCAUAACGUCGCAAGACCAAAGAGGGGGACCUUCGGGCCUCUUGCCAUCAGAUGUGCCCAGAUGGGAUUAGCUAGUAGGUGGGGUAAUGGCUCACCUAGGCGACGAUCCCUAGCUGGUCUGAGAGGAUGACCAGCCACACGGGAACUGAGACACGGUCCAGACUCCUACGGGAGGCAGCAGUGGGGAAGAUUGCACAAUGGGCGCAAGCCUGAUGCAGCCAUGCCGCGUGUAUGAAGAAGGCCUUCGGGUUGUAAAGUACUUUCAGCGGGGAGGAAGGUGCUGAGGUUAAUAACCUCAGCAAUUGACGUUACCCGCAGAAGAAGCACCGGCUAACUCCGUGCCAGCCGCCGCAGUAA
rnacentral:rRNA from 1 species